ACGUAGGGGCCUAGCGUUGUCCGGAUUUAUUGGGCGUAAAGAGCUCGUAGGCGGCUUGGUAAGUCAGGUGUGAAAUCUCCACGCUCAACGUGGAGGGGCCACCCGAAACUGCCAUGGCUUGAGUCCGGUAGGGGAGUGUGGAAUUCCCGGUGUAGCGGUGAAAUGCGCAGAUAUCGGGAGGAACACCCGUAGCGAAGGCGGCACUCUGGGCCGGUACUGACGCUGAGGAGCGAAAGCGUGGGGAGCAAACAGGA
rnacentral:rRNA from 1 species